GACGAACGCUGGCGGCGCGCCUAACACAUGCAAGUCGAACGGAGCUGAGAGAAGCUUGCUUUUCUUAGCUUAGUGGCGAACGGGUGAGUAACGCGUGAGUAACCUGCCCUGGAGUGGGGGACAACAGUUGGAAACGACUGCUAAUACCGCAUAAGCCCACGAUCCGGCAUCGGAUUGAGGGAAAAGGAUUUAUUCGCUUCAGGAUGGACUCGCGUCCAAUUAGCUAGUUGGUGGGGUAACGGCCCACCAAGGCGACGAUUGGUAGCCGGACUGAGAGGUUGAACGGCCACAUUGGGACUGCGACACGGCCCAGACUCCUACGGGAGGCAGCAGUGGGGGAUAUUGCACAAUGGGGGAAACCCUGAUGCAGCGACGCCGCGUGGAGGAAGAAGGUUUUCGGAUUGUAAACUCCUGUCGUUAGGGACGAUAAUGACGGUACCUAACAAGAAAGCACCGGCUAACUACGUG
rnacentral:rRNA from 1 species